rnacentral:rRNA from 1 species
UACGAAGGGGGCUAGCGUUGCUCGGAAUCACUGGGCGUAAAGCGCACGUAGGCGGGUCGUUAAGUCAGGGGUGAAAUCUUGGAGCUUAACUCCGAAACUGCAUUCGAUACUGCCGUGCUUGAGGACUGGAGAGGAGACUGGAAUUUACGGUGUAGCGGUGAAAUGCGUAGAUAUCGUAAGGAAGACCAGUGGCGAAGGCGGGUCUCUGGACAGUUCCUGACGCUGAGGCACGAAGGCCAGGGGAGCAAACGGG